UCCGGUUUGUCACCGGCAGUCUCCCUGGAGUGCUCUUGCGUAGCAACUAGGGACAAGGGUUGCGCUCGUUGCGGGACUUAACCCAACAUCUCACGACACGAGCUGACGACAGCCAUGCAGCACCUGUGUUACGGCUCCCUUUCGGGCACCCCGACCUCUCAGCCAGGUUCCGUACAUGUCAAGGGUAGGUAAGGUUUUUCGCGUUGCAUCGAAUUAAUCCACAUCAUCCACCGCUUGUGCGGGUCCCCGUCAAUUCCUUUGAGUUUUAAUCUUGCGACCGUACUCCCCAGGCGGUCAACUUCACGCGUUAGCUACGUUACCAAGUCAAUGAAGACCCGACAACCAGUUGACAUCGUUUAGGGCGUGGACUAC
rnacentral:misc_RNA from 1 species